rnacentral:lncRNA from 1 species
CAACAGUGUGUGAUUUGACCUGAGAACAAAAAUGGCAUGUUGGAAUGUAUUUCUUUACCUCAGUACUGACUUAGGUUUACAGAUGAAGGCCUCUUCCUGCCACCAUCAGUUUUUAGUCUAUCUGUCUAUACUCAUCUACAUCUGGAGUGAAAUUAAUCCUCUUUCCUGCACUCAAUCCUAAAUGAUAUUUUUUUUUAAGAGAAAGUAUCUCACUGUGCACAGGCCAGGCUGGAGAGCAGUGAUGAGAUCAUAACUCACUGCAGCUUUGAACCUGGGCUCAAGCAAUCUCUCCCCCAACCUCAGCCUCCCAAGUUGCUAGG